rnacentral:rRNA from 1 species
GUAGGUGGCAAGCGUUGUCCGGGAAUUAUUGGGGCGUAAAGCGCGCGCAGGCGGUUCUUUAAGUCUGAUGUGAAAGCCCACGGGCUCAACCGUGGAGGGUCAUUGGCAACUGGAGAACUUGAGUACAGAAGAGGAAAGCGGAAUUCCACGUGUAGCGGUGAAAUGCGUAGAGAUGUGGAGGAACACCAGUGGCGAAGGCGGCUUUCUGGUCUGUAACUGACGCUGAGGCGCGAAAGCGUGGGGAGCAAACAGGAUUAGAUACCCUGGUAGUCCACGCCGUAAACGAUGAGUGCUAAGUGUUAGGGGGUUUCCGCCCCUUAGUGCUGCAGCUAACGCAUUAAGCACUCCGCCUGGGGAGUACGGCCGCAAAGGCUG